rnacentral:snRNA from 1 species
AUACUUACCUGGCAGGGGAGACACUGAUCACCAAGGCAGCUCUCCCAGGGCAAGGCUCACCCAUUGCACUCCGGGUGUGCUGACCCCUGUGAAAAGAAAAAUAAAAAAUAAAAAAUAAAUGAUUUUAUUUAUUUUAUUUUUUAAAUUUUCUUUUUUAC